AACCCAUCAUUUUAAACUCCAGCCCAACUAAUCAAAGUGGCCCAACCAAGAGAUGAAAUCUCGGUUCUUUCUCUCUCAUUUUCACGGCUUCUGUUCCUCAAUUCCUCCACCCAAAUCAGCAGCCUCUCUUCCCAAAUCUCGCCAGCGCCGCUCAAGACCUCUCUCUCUCUCUCGCCCGCUCUACGCGAGCUCCGCCGCGAACGGCUCCGGCGAGAACGACGGCCAGCCGAGGACAUCGCCCCUGAUCUGCCGUCGCCGCUCCGUACUCUGACCAUUCCAGCCGCCGGCGAGGCCAGCGUUGCUCAGAACCCCGACGUCGGUCUGCUCCCUCAUCUCCUCUCUCUCGAUUUACCUCUCAAACUCGACUGAGAGGAGGAGCCCUAGCUUUCCCUGAGAUCGAAUCCUCCGCCGUUUCUGUAAGUCCGGCGACCGCUAGUUGUCGUCCCCCCUCCAAACUUGGUGUCUCGGCCUCAAAUCCGUGUUCGGGAAGAAGAGAGUGGAAGGGCGAGCCCUAAUCGUCAAAUACCAGGUCGCCGCUGCACCGCGUCUCCAUCAGAAUCUGAUGGCUGGUCGCCGUGGCUCUGUAAAUCCGGCAACUGACUGCCGGUUUCGCUCUCCUCCACGAAUCGCCGCCAUCUCCUUCGCGUUCCUCCGGCGACCAGGUAAAGUCCGCCUUCGUUGUUCUCCGGGGUCGACGGGGUUCGAUUUGUGCCACGCCACCGCCGCUGCUGCUACUGGAGGCCGGCUUCGCCGUUGCUGUCGCUGUUCCCGGCGAAGGGUGUCGCCUCGCCUACUCCUCGGCGCCGUUAAAUCCCGAUUCAGAGCAGGGCAAUCGGCCCUAUUUCUUAAGCUAAGUUCUCUAGUUUCAUUCUACUAUUGUAUCUUGAUUCAUUUGCUUAUGAUGUGAAAGUUUAAUACGAGGGGUUGUGGUUUUUCCUAAUUCCGUUUAUAAGCCGUGGAAAUUUUGCUACUGUGCUAAAUGAAUAACAGCGUUGUUAUAUGCUCGUCAA